rnacentral:rRNA from 1 species
CCUACGGGGGACAGCAGUCGAGAAUCAUUCACAAUGGGGGAAACCCUGAUGGUGCGACGCCGCGUGGGGGAAUGAAGGUCUUCGGAUUGUAAACCCCUGUCAUGUGGGAGCAAAUUAAAAAGAUAGUACCACAAGAGGAAGAGACGGUUAACUCUGUGCCAGCAGCCGCGGUAAUACAGAGGUCUCAAGCGUUGUUCGGAAUCACUGGGCGUAAGGCGUGCGUAGGCUGUUUCGUAAGUCGUGUGUGAAAGGCGCGGGCUCAACCCGCGGACGGCACAUGAUACUGCGAGACUAGAGUAAUGGAGGGGGAACCGGAAUUCUCGGUGUAGCAGUGAAAUGCGUAGAUAUCGAGAGGAACACUCGUGGCGAAGGCGGGUUCCUGGACAUUAACUGACGCUGAGGCACGAAGGCCAGGGGAGCGAAAGGGAUUAGAUACCCUAGUAGUC